rnacentral:rRNA from 1 species
UACGGAAGGCAGCAGUGGGGAAUAUUGCACAAUGGGCGCAAGCCUGAUGCAGCCAUGCCGCGUGUAUGAAAAGGCCUUCGGGUUGUAAAGUACUUUCAGUCGUGAGGAAGGUGUUAAGGUUAAUAACCUUAGCAAUUGACGUUAGCGACAGAAGAAGCACCGGCUAACUCCGUGCCAGCAGCCGCGGUAAUACGGAGGGUGCGAGCGUUAAUCGGAAUUACUGGGCGUAAAGGGCACGCAGGCGGUUAAUUAAGUUGGAUGUGAAAUCCCCGGGCUUAACCUGGGAAUGGCAUUCAAGACUGGUUAGCUAGAGUCUUGUAGAGGGGGUAGAAUUCCAUGUGUAGCGGUGAAAUGCGUAGAGAUGUGGAGGAAUACCGGUGCGAAGGCGGCCCCUGGGACAAAGACUGACGCUCAUGUGCGAAAGCGUGGGGAGCAAACGAGGGAUUAGAUACC